CAUGUAUUUCCUGCUUUGGCCCUACAAUCAGCACUUUCCUCCUGGGACCCCUGGUUCCUUGGAUUGGAGAAGAGUACCAGAAACCAAGUUCUGGGCAUGAGGCAUGCUUGGAUGGGAUCUUGCUAAGCUGCCCGGGCUAGCCUCGAACUCAGAAUCCUCCUCCCUUAACAGCUCAGGUAGGAUAACAGCACAUACCAGAGCUGAGUCAGGAGCAUUCUCUGAAAGCUGCUGCCAAGCCCCUGCAUCCCUGGACUGAGCGAGCAGGUUGGCACUGCCAUCUGGAACCUCUCUUCUACCUAGACAGCAAGCACAGAAGUGGAACUUUUGGGGAUUCAGUGGAGCUCAACCUCAUAAGCACAGCUCCUAUAAGAUCAGGGAGUCAUGGACGGGUUGCCAUGGACCAUGCCUUUCUACCCAAGCACAAAGAACUUGAUGGGGGUUCUGAGAAUGGAGAAAAGAAGGCUAGCUCCAAGAGCUGCAAGAGUUUUCCAGCAGCAGAAGAAACCAAAUGUGCCCAAG
rnacentral:lncRNA from 1 species